AAUUAACGAGCGACAAAAGAACAACAUAUGAGAUUGCGUUUAAUCAGUUUAUCAUGUUUUCUUUUUGAUAUCCAGCAUACAAAUUUCGGCAUUUAAUCAAUAUUUUGACGAAUGAAAUUGGAUCGGACAAGAAUAAUUCGAUGUAGAAAAAUGACUAUUACGACCAGAAUAUUAAUACGUAUGCAUAUUGUUAUGUUUGUCAUAUUUGACAUUUCAUCUUAAUGUAUGUGAAUAAAUUAUUUAUAUGAGAUCAUACUUUGAAUUAAAAAAGCUGAAGAUGUUUGAGUCUAUCAAUAACAUUAACAUCACACAAUAACGGAGGUGCUGCAAUUGCGUCGCCACUACUCCAACUGAAAAAUUAUUCUGUCGAGAAUAUUAAGAAGAAAUAUAUACAUAUUAAUGCUGACAAAUCCGCUCAACUGUUCGACAUUAGAAAAAACGAUGACAUAGAGCCGAUAGAGAGCCGACAUAGAGACGAUGACAUAAAACGAACGAGACAGACAGGCAUUGAUGAAAAUAACAAGAGCUUGAGGUUUCGAUAAAACAAGCUCUCUGAAGGACAAGUCAGGCGAUCGAUCGUAAAACGAAAUGUCAUGAUUCGGUAGACACUAUAGACACUUGUAGGCACUGACGCACACGGAUCCUAAUCAACCAAUUUUUACCGAACGACUUGAGACCAAAUAAGAAAAUUGAAAUAGUAUGGAUAACAACAAAGGCAAUAAAAGCAAAAAAAAUAAUAGCUGUUCUAAGAAGCAGAAAAGUUGGGAAACUCAACGUUUACAACCGUUAAAAAAAAAGAUUUCACCGAUCGAUGAAAUAUUGAAGAAAAUUCAACCUUCAUUAGCCUGGAGAGAACGGGCUGAUCAACAUUUUGCUGCCAUCGCCAGAGCUGAGAGAGAGCGGAUUAAUAAACAUUUUGCUUCCGUCACGUCUAUCAAAGAUAAGAAGAAGACUGAACGUUUACAACCGUUAAAAAAGAUUUCGCUGGACAAUAUAUUAAAAAAAAUUCAACCUUCAUUAGCUGAGAGAGAAUGGGCUAAUCAACAUUUUGCUGCAAUUGCCAGAGCUGAAAAAGAACGAAAGAACUAAUCAUCAUUUUGCUUCCAUCACGUCUAUCAAGAUAAGAAGAACUUAAAUAAAAAUAAAUAAAUAAGAAAAAGAGAUAUUUUGAAGAUCAAAAUAAGAAAAUCAAUUCAAAUUAAUGGUAUUAAUAAGAACGAUGACGACGACGUGUGCAUGGUGUAUGUAUAACAAAAGAGUUAAAAGAAAUGUAAAAAGAAGAAGAGAAAACGCAAACAGAAUAAAAUUUAAAAAAAGAAUGAAAGGAAACA